CCUACGGGGGGCAGCAGUGGGGAAUAUUGGGCAAUGGGCGCAAGCCUGACCCAGCAACGCCGCGUGAAGGAUGAAGGCUUUCGGGUUGUAAACUUCUUUUAUCAGGGACGAACAAAUGACGGUACCUGAUGAAUAAGCCACGGCUAACUACGUGCCAGCAGCCGCGGUAAUACGUAGGUGGCAAGCGUUAUCCGGAUUUACUGGGUGUAAAGGGCGUGUAGGCGGGACUGCAAGUCAGGUGUGAAAACCACGGGCUCAACCUGUGGCCUGCAUUUGAAACUGUAGUUCUUGAGUGCUGGAGAGGCAAUCGGAAUUCCGUGUGUAGCGGUGAAAUGCGUAGAUAUACGGAGGAACACCAGUGGCGAAGGCGGAUUGCUGGACAGUAACUGACGCUGAGGCGCGAAAGCGUGGGGAGCAAACAGGAUUAUAUACCCCGGUAGUC
rnacentral:rRNA from 1 species